GACGAAGGCGCGGCCAACCCCCGCCAGCCUCGCACAUGCACUUGCACACGUAGGCGGGAGCCGCGGGCGGUCCUGCACCCCGCACACAGGCAGGCUGCAGCUGGGCGCUGAGCCCAGGCACGUACCGGGGCGGGGCCAGGCCGCCCGGGCUGCGUUUCCACCCGCAGCAGGUAGCACCGCGCCCUGAGCAGGAGUACUGGGCUCUCCGCCGGCCAGAGUGGGUCAGGCUCGACUGCUCUCAGGCACCUGCCUUUCUCUGCGAUCCAGAAUGCAGCCAAGACCGAAUAAAGGAAAUCACAUAGUAAGCGGAGAUCGGGUGUCUGAGCAGCGCCUUGGAUAAAAUCCACUCAUGACAGGGUCUCACUCUGUAGCCUUGGCUGGCUUAAAAUAGUUACCAACUGGACUGGACUGAAAACCAAGAGAUCUGCCUAUAUCUGCGUCCUAACUGCUAGGUCUAUUAUGUCUUUGUGGAACUUACCAGCAUCCAGAAGUUUUCUCACACGUAAGUAACUGAUGGUGAGUCUCAUGACA